rnacentral:ncRNA from 2 species
UCGUCGACCUACGGGAGCCCAGUGAUUGUGGGCUGAGAGGGCGGGCAUCGCCGCCGACCGUAAACCUGAUGCGGAUAAUGCCGCCGGAGGGAAGGAGCCUAUGUCCCGG